AGUCUGCAACCCGACUACAUGAAGCUGGAAUCGCUAGUAAUCGCGAAUCAGAAUGUCGCGGUGAAUACGUUCCCGGGUCUUGUACACACCGCCCGUCACACCAUGGGAGUCGGAAAUGCCCAAAGUCAGUGGCCUAACCGAAAGGGAGGAGCUGCCGAAGGUGGAGCCGGUAACUGGGGUGAAGUCGUAACAAGGUAAC
rnacentral:rRNA from 1 species